rnacentral:piRNA from 1 species
UAAUGUCUGGCCCAAAUCAUUGAUUUGC